rnacentral:lncRNA from 1 species
AGCAACUAAACAAUUCAAUUUGCAAUACUUAAAACACUUCAAUUUACAACAUUUAAACACUUCAAUUUGCAACACUUUAACACUUCAAUUCACAACAUUUAAAUACUUUUAUUUGCAACAAUUUAACACUUCAAUUUACAAUAUUUAAACACUUCAAUUUGCAGCACUUUAACAUCUCUAUUAACAACAUUUAUACACCUCAAUUACAGCAAUAAAACAUCUCAAUUUCCAGCAACUAAACACUUCAAAGUGCAGUACUUAAAUAGGGCUUUAAAAGUACAAAAACGAGCAGCAACAACAUCUACUUUGCUUGAGCAACAGGAAAUUUUUGCACUAAUUGGACAACAACUAAAUCUGAAAUAAAC